AACUUCCGUUAUUGAUUAUGACGUACUUGUACUGAUUGAGAUUUUAACACGAAGUGAGUGGCGAACGGGUGAGUAACACGUGGGUAACCUGCCCAGAAGUAGGGGAUAACACCUGGAAACAGAUGCUAAUACCGUAUAACAGAGAAAACCGCAUGGUUUUCUUUUAAAAGAUGGCUCUGCUAUCACUUCUGGAUGGACCCGCGGCGUAUUAGCUAGUUGGUGAGGUAAAGGCUCACCAAGGCAGUGAUACGUAGCCGACCUGAGAGGGUAAUCGGCCACAUUGGGACUGAGACACGGCCCAGACUCCUACGGGAGGCAGCAGUAGGGAAUCUUCCACAAUGGACGCAAGUCUGAUGGAGCAACGCCGCGUGAGUGAAGAAGGGUUUCGGCUCGUAAAGCUCUGUUGUUAAAGAAGAACGUGGGUAAGAGUAACUGUUUACCCAGUGACGGUAUUUAACCAGAAAGCCACGGCUAACUACGUGCCAGCAGCCGCGGUAAUACGUAGGUGGCAAGCGUUAUCCGGAUUUAUUGGGCGUAAAGCGAGCGCAGGCGGUCUUUUAAGUCUAAUGUGAAAGCCUUCGGCUCAACCGAAGAAGUGCAUUGGAAACUGGGAGACUUGAGUGCAGAAGAGGACAGUGGAACUCCAUGUGUAGCGGUGAAAUGCGUAGAUAUAUGGAAGAACACCAGUGGCGAAGGCGGCUGUCUGGUCUGCAACUGACGCUGAGGCUCGAAAGCAUGGGUAGCGAACAGGAUUAGAUACCCUGGUAGUCCAUGCCGUAAACGAUGAUUACUAAGUGUUGGAGGGUUUCCGCCCUUCAGUGCUGCAGCUAACGCAUUAAGUAAUCCGCCUGGGGAGUACGACCGCAAGGUUGAAACUCAAAAGAAUUGACGGGGGCCCGCACAAGCGGUGGAGCAUGUGGUUUAAUUCGAAGCUACGCGAAGAACCUUACCAGGUCUUGACAUCUUCUGACAGUCUAAGAGAUUAGAGGUUCCCUUCGGGGACAGAAUGACAGGUGGUGCAUGGUUGUCGUCAGCUCGUGUCGUGAGAUGUUGGGUUAAGUCCCGCAACGAGCGCAACCCUUAUUACUAGUUGCCAGCAUUAAGUUGGGCACUCUAGUGAGACUGCCGGUGACAAACCGGAGGAAGGUGGGGACGACGUCAAAUCAUCAUGCCCCUUAUGACCUGGGCUACACACGUGCUACAAUGGAUGGUACAACGAGUCGCGAGACCGCGAGGUUAAGCUAAUCUCUUAAAACCAUUCUCAGUUCGGACUGUAGGCUGCAACUCGCCUACACGAAGUCGGAAUCGCUAGUAAUCGCGGAUCAGCAUGCCGCGGUGAAUACGUUCCCGGGCCUUGUACACACCGCCCGUCACACCAUGAGAGU
rnacentral:rRNA from 1 species